CUGUGUGACUGUGUGUGUGUGACUGUGUGUGUGUGACUGUGUGUGACUGUGUGUCUCUCUGUGUGUGUGUCUCCCAGGCUGUGACAAGCUCACGGAGCGAUGUCUGCACCACCUGUCCCGCUGCGUGUCUCUGUGUGUGUGUCUCUGUGUGUGUGUCUGUGUGUGUGACUGUGUAUAUGACUGUGUGUCUGUGUGUGUGUCUCGCAGGCUGUGACAAGCUCACUGAGCGAUGUCUGCACCACCUGUCCCGCUGUGUGUCUCUGUGUGUGUGUCUCUGUGUGUGUGACUGUGUGACUGUGUGUGUGUGACUGUGUGUGUCUCUGUGUGUGUGACUGUGUGUGUGUCUGUGUGUGUCUCUGUGUGUGUCUCCCAGGCUGUGACAAGCUCACUGAGCGAUGUCUGCACCACCUGUCCCGCUGCGUGUCUCUGUGUGUGUGUCUCUGUGUGUGUGACUGUGUGUGUGACUGUGUGUGUGUCUCUGUGUGUGUGUCUCUGUGUGUGUGUCUGUGUGUGUGUGACUGUGACUGUGUGUCUGUGUGUGUCUCCCAGGCUGUGACAAGCUCACUGAGCGAUGUCUGCACCACCUGUCCCGCUGCGUGUCUCUGUCUCUGUGUCUCUGUGUGUGUGUCUCUGUGUGUGUGACUGUGUGUGUGACUGUGUGUGUGUGUCUGUGUGUGACUGUGUGUCUCUGUGUGUGUCUAACAGGCUGUGACAAGCUCACUGAGCCAUGUCUGCACCACCUGUCCCGCUGUGUGUCUCUGUGUGUGUGUCUCUGUGUGUGUCUCUGUGUCUGUGUGUGUGUGUGACUGUGUGUGACUGUGUGUGUCUCCCAGGCUGUGACAAGCUCACUGAGCGAUGUCUGCACCACCUGUCCCGCUGUGUGUCUCUGUGUGUGUGUCUCUGUGUGACUGUGUGUGUGACUGUGUGUGUGUCUCUGUGUGUGUCUCCCAGGCUGUGACAAGCUCACGGAGCGAUGUCUGCACCACCUGUCCCGCUGUGUGUCUCUGUGUGUGUGUCUCUGUGUGUGUGUCUCUGUGUGUGUGUGACUGUGUGUGUGUAUGUGACUGUGUGUGACUGUGUCUCUGUGUGUGUCUACCAGGCUGUGACAAGCUCACUGAGCGAUGUCUGCACCACCUGUCCCGCUGUGUGUCUCUGUGUGUGUGUCUCUGUGUGUGUGUCUCUGUGUGUGUGUGACUGUGUGUGUGUAUGUGACUGUGUGUGACUGUGUCUCUGUGUGUGUCUACCAGGCUGUGACAAGCUCACUGAGCGAUGUCUGCACCACCUGCCCCGCUGUGUGUCUCUGUGUGUGUGUCUCUGUGUGUGUGUCUCUGUGUGUGUGACUGUGUGUGACUGUGUGUCUCUGUGUGUGUGUCUACCAGGCUGUGACAAGCUCACUGAGCGAUGUCUGCACCACCUGUCCCGCUGUGUGUCUCUGUGUGUGUGACUGUGUGUGUGUGACUGUGUGUGUGACUGUGUGUGACUGUGUGUGUCUCUGUGUCUCUGUGUGUGUGUGUCUACCAGGCUGUGACAAGCUCACUGAGCGAUGUCUGCACCACCUGUCCCGCUGUGUGUCUCUGUGUGUGUGUCUCUGUGUGUGUGUCUCUGUGUGUGUGUGACUGUGUGUGUGUAUGUGACUGUGUGUGACUGUGUCUCUGUGUGUGUCUACCAGGCUGUGACAAGCUCACUGAGCGAUGUCUGCACCACCUGUCCCGCUGUGUGUCUCUGUGUGUGUGUCUCUGUGUGUGACUGUGUGUCUCUGUGUGUGUGACUGUGUGUGUCUGUGUGUGUGUCUCCCAGGCUGUGACAAGCUCACUGAGCGAUGUCUGCACCACCUGUCCCGCUGUGUGUCUCUGUGUGUGUGACUGUGUGUGUGUCUCUGUGUGUGUGACUGUGUGUGACUGUGUGUGUGUGACUGUGUGACUGUGUGUGUGUCUACCAGGCUGUGACAAGCUCACGGAGCGAUGUCUGCACCACCUGUCCCGCUGUGUGUCUCUGUGUGUGUGUCUCUGUGUGUGUGACUGUGUGUGUGACUGUGUGUGACUGUGUGACUGUGUGUGUGUCUCCCAGGCUGUGACAAGCUCACUGAGCGAUGUCUGCACCACCUGUCCCGCUGUGUGUGACUGUGUGUGUGACUGUGUGUGUGACUGUGUGUGACUGUGUGUGUGACUGUGUGUGUGUCUCCCAGGCUGUGACAAGCUCACUGAGCGAUGUCUGCACCACCUGUCCCGCUGUGUGUCUCUGUGUGUGUGACUGUGUGUGUGUGACUGUGUGUGUGACUGUGUGUGACUGUGUGUCUCUGUGUGUGUGACUGUGUGUGUCUGUGUGUGUGUGUCUCCCAGGCUGUGACAAGCUCACGGAGCGAUGUCUGCACCACCUGUCCCGCUGUGUGUCUCUGUGUGUGUGUCUCUGUGUCUCUGUGUGUGUGUCUGUGUGUGACUGUGUGUGUCUCUGUGUGUGUGUGUCUCCCAGGCUGUGACAAGCUCACUGAGCGAUGUCUGCACCACCUGUCCCGCUGUGUGUCUCUGUCUCUGUGUCUCUGUGUGUGUGUCUCUGUGUGUGUGUGACUGUGUGUGUGUAUGUGACUGUGUGUGACUGUGUCUCUGUGUGUGUCUACCAGGCUGUGACAAGCUCACUGAGCGAUGUCUGCACCACCUGUCCCGCUGUGUGUCUCUGUGUGUGUGACUGUGUGUGUGUGACUGUGUGUGUGACUGUGUGUGACUGUGUGUGUCUCUGUGUCUCUGUGUGUGUGUGUCUACCAGGCUGUGACAAGCUCACUGAGCGAUGUCUGCACCACCUGUCCCGCUGUGUGUCUCUGUGUGUGUGUCUCUGUGUGUGUGACUGUGUGUGUCUGUGUGUGACUGUGUGUGUGUCUACCAGGCUGUGACAAGCUCACUGAGCGAUGUCUGCACCACCUGUCCCGCUGUGUGUCUCUGUGUGUGUGACUGUGUGUGUGACUGUGUGUGUGUGACUGUGUGUGUGUGUGUCUCCCAGGCUGUGACAAGCUCACUGAGCGAUGUCUGCACCACCUGUCCCGCUGUGUGUCUCUGUGUGUGUGUCUGUGUGUGUGUCUCUGUGUGUGACUGUGUGUGACUGUGUGUGUCUCUGUGUGUGUGUCUCUGUGUGUGUCUCCCAGGCUGUGACAAGCUCACUGAGCGAUGUCUGCACCACCUGUCCCGCUGUGUGUCUCUGUGUGUGUGUGUCUGUGUGUGUGUCAGUGUCUGUGU